UAGAUUAUGAGGCUUUGCGACUGCUAGGUUGAGCAUCUCCCUAAGCAGUUCCCACCUCAUUGUCUGAUUAGUGUCUAAUAUACAGCUUACCAAACAAACCAUCUAUCGAAUUUCCUCACACAUCUACCCAAAGCGGAAAUUUCACCCAAAAAACUCACAAGAACUCAUCAACACCUGCUAUGGUCGUGCUUGACUACGUUACCGUGGCCGAAUUUAUCUCCGAUCGAAGCCGAAUUUAUCUCCGAUCGAAUCCUUCAUGACGGAGGGCUGAAGCUGUCCACUCGCGAAGAUUUCCAUACCUGGAACGACACCAUCAUCUCUGCGUUGACCUACGCACGAGUUCGUCACUGCAUAGAUCUGCCUUCGUCCCAGUCUAUCGCUGAUUGCCCUGUGGACUCUCUAGGUCUACCAAGUCCACCGCAACCGCCCCAGUUACCUUUGAUGCGGAUAUUGACUAACUCAUCCGCGAGAACAUUAGAGAGACCCUCGCCAUUUCCCUCCGUCCCAACUAUAGUCAUUACACCACUGCUGCUGCCCUAUAUGCCGCUCUGGUCCGCUACUUUGGCGACUUUGGUCCUGAACAGUUAUACCCUAAGGUCUGCGCUCUUGUUGACACAGUAUGCACUGCGGACACCGAUAUUGCCACGUGGCUUGGGACCAUGGGCUCUUUGGCUAGCGAUCUCACAGCUAUGGAACUUACUGUCGACAAAUUACUCUGUGCUCUCUACCUUCGCGGUCUCCUCCCCGGUUUGAUUCUUUCGUCAACUCCAUCCUGUCUGCUACCUUCAAUUUGUCUGACUCUAAACUCACCUCCGAUAGGUUGCGGGCGGCUAUCCUCAAGCAUGAUACCAUUGGGAUCAGUGGGAGCAAAAGGCACAGGGAUUCGGAGAGAGGCGGUUUGCGACACUGACGAGUGGCACUCAUCAUACACUUAUCGGCACCUUACAACAUUUGGUGUAUAUCCUGGCCGAGUAGCUUAGCAUAAAGCAGCCCAUAUCCCCUACGCUUUAUCGACGCACAAUGCUCUUUGCCCCCUACUCCACCCUGUUUUUUUUUGUCAAGCAAUCAAUGACAAUUAAAUUAUCAGAGAAAAACUUUUGGAAUUAGUCAUGCAUUCUCG
rnacentral:sRNA from 1 species